rnacentral:rRNA from 1 species
GAUGAACGCUAGCGAUAGGCUUAACACAUGCAAGUCGAGGGGCAGCACAAGGUAGCUUGCUAUCUGGGUGGCGACCGGCGCACGGGUGCGUAACGCGUAUGCAACUUGCCCUAUACAGGAGGAUAACCCGUCGAAAGACGGACUAAUACUGCGUAUGCUCACAACUUGGCAUCAAGUGGUGAGGAAAGAAAUUCGGUAUAGGAUAGGCAUGCGUCCCAUUAGCUUGUUGGUGAGGUAACGGCUCACCAAGGCAACGAUGGGUAGGGGAACUGAGAGGUUUAUCCCCCACACUGGUACUGAGACACGGACCAGACUCCUACGGGAGGCAGCAGUGAGGAAUAUUGGUCGAUGGGCGCGAGCCUGAACCAGCCAAGUCGCGUGAAGGAUGACUGUCUUAUGGAUUGUAAACUUCUUUUAUACGGGAAUAACAAGAGUCACGUGUGACUCCCUGCAUGUACCGUAUGAAUAAGCAUCGGCUAACUCCGUG